rnacentral:misc_RNA from 1 species
AACAUCGCGCACCUGCGGGAACCUGCGGAAGGAUCAUUACCGAGUUUACAACUCCCAAACCCCUGUGAACAUACCUAUACGUUGCCUCGGCGGAUCAGCCCGCGCCCCGUAAAACGGGACGGCCCGCCCGAGGACCCCUAAACUCUGUUUUUAGUGGAACUUCUGAGUAAAACAAACAAAUAAAUCAAAACUUUUAACAACGGAUCU